rnacentral:lncRNA from 1 species
UACUCAUAUUGUAACAAUAUAUCGAUGUCAGCACAUCCAGAACGCACUUUCUUCCUCUGUCACUCACAGAAGAAAGGCAAGACACAUCCAUGUUUACCUGCGUGCCAGCAGCAGACGCCGCUGGAGGCCAUCACAGCCUUCUCAAAAUAGAGGCCCCUUGAUACCGACUUUCCUGAGAGGACAGAACAGAGACUAGUUCCACUUCUCCAUCCCCUCGACUCAGUGACCCAUCCUUGACCAUGAGCUGUAGGCAGAGAUGACUGGUGUCAUGUCUAACUCAGGAACGAGUCUCUGAAUUCUCAUAGCCCUAAUUCAGCUGUCAGCCAGCUUCCAAGUGGAGAGUCUCCAUCAGCCUGGAGACUGACUUGCUGCUGACUUGCUGUGAAUGUGGAACUUGAAGGUGGAGUUGCUCUAAGAACUUCUAAACUGUCAGGAUGUUGGUGCUCUUUGCCCCAUGAUGCAGCCGGGUCACCCUGAGCUGAGGCUCCUCCAUGUCCCAGCGCUGUGCAGUCCCUCAGCUGUUCCUGCUGAUGCUGCUUCCAGGGUGAAGAGACAGUCUGGUGAGAUCAAAGUUAACUUGGACUCACCGCUUUCCUUGAAGAGCCUUUCUUGGACUUUUUCAACUAUUUUUUGACCUACACUCAGGAUCCUGGUUUCUGUAACAUUUGAGCCCAAGAUAAUUAGAGUUGUGAAGAUUGCAGGGAAAACCUGCAACAUGCAAUGAAACAGAAAGCACGGAAGAAAGAGAAUGAGGAAGGAGGAAUGGAGGAGCACCAGCAAGUCAAUGACACCUUCAAUUCUACCUCUGGUUGCAGGAUGUUUAAGCUUCAGUGCCAAGCACUGGCCACUUAACAUGGUGGAAGUGUGCCAGGAUUUAUGCUGGCUUAGAUCAUUCAAGCUAGUGGGACCAGCUGUAGGGGGGCUC